AUUGAACGCUGGCGGAAUGCUUUACACAUGCAAGUCGAACGGUAGAGGGGGCAACCCCUCGAGAGUGGCGAACGGGUGAGUAAUAUAUCGGAACGUGCCCAGUCGUGGGGGAUAACGUAGCGAAAGUUACGCUAAUACCGCAUACGAUCUAAGGAUGAAAGCGGGGGAUCGCAAGACCUCGCGCGAUUGGAGCGGCCGAUAGCAGAUUAGGUAGUUGGUGGGGUAAAGGCUCACCAAGCCAACGAUCUGUAGCUGGUCUAAGAGGACGACCAGCCACGCUGGAACUGAGACACGGUCCAGACUACGACGGGAGGCAGCAGUGGGGAAUUUUGGACAAUGGACGCAAGACUGAUCCAGCCAUUCCGCGUGCAGGAUGAAGGCCCUCGGGUUGUAAACUGCUUUUGUACGGAACGAAAAGGUCUCUCUUAAUACGGGGGACUCAUGACGGUACCGUAAGAAUAAGCACCGGCUAACUACGUGCCAGCCGCCGCGGUAA
rnacentral:rRNA from 1 species